UACGUAGGGCGCAAGCGUUGUCCGGAAUUAUUGGGCGUAAAGAGCUCGUAGGCGGUGUGUCGCGUCGGCCGUGAAAACCUGCAGCUUAACUGUGGGCUUGCGGUCGAUACGGGCAUCACUGGAGUUCGGCAGGGGAGACUGGAAUUCCGUGGUGUAGCGGUGAAAUGCGCAGAUAUCAGGAGGAACACCGGUGGCGAAGGCGGUGCUCUGGGCCGAAACUGACGCUGAGGAGCGAAAGCGUGGGUAGCAAACAGG
rnacentral:rRNA from 1 species